GCAGGUGUCGGCAAGACGUGCCUGGAGCGGCAGUUCACGGCCAAGAAGUUCCUGGAGGUGCACGAUCUCACCAUCGGCGUUGAGUUCAGCAGCCGCACCAUCAACGUGGACGGCAAGCGCAUACAGCUCGACAUCUGGGACACGGCUGGCCACGAAGCAUUCGUACCUAUUACUAGACAAUUCUACUGCAGAGCUGCUUGCAUCAUUUUGGUUUAUGAUAUCACAAGGAGGGAGACUUUUGAUCAUAUUGCUACAUUGCUUGAAAGAGCAAGAGAGCUAUCGAGAGCCGGCGUAACAUUGGCGCUGAUCGGAAACAAAUGCGAUCUGUCUCACAUGCGUGCGGUCAGCUACGAGGAAGGGCGAGAGUUCGCCGAGAGGCACGAUCUCGUGUUUAUGGAGGCCUCUGCAAAAACCACACAAAAUGUUGAUGAGGCAUUCAUUCUGACCGCUGAAAGAGUACACAAGAAAGUCCAAGAUGGCGUCCUUGACUUACCUGAAAAGGUCAGUUUAAGUGCUUGCCUUGUCCAAUAUGCAGGCAAGGCAAAAGAUUGGCUAUCAAUUGGUUGGCAACCAACUUACUUUGCCAAUCUCUCAAAACUUGGCAAUCUUUGGCAAGCUUUGGAGUCGUCAAAUCUUGGCAUGCCAAUAUGCUGGAUAGCCAAUUUUUGGCACAAAAUGGGUCAAUGGAAGUAG
rnacentral:rRNA from 1 species